AUUGAACGCUGGCGGCAGGCCUAACACAUGCAAGUCGAGCGGCAGCACUUCGGGUGGCGAGCGGCGAACGGGUGAGUAAUACAUGGGAAUCUGCCUGGUAGUGGGGGAUAACUCUGGGAAACUAGAGGUAAUACCGCAUACGCCCUACGGGGAAAGCGGGGAGUCUUCGGACCUCGCGCUAUCAGAGGAGCCCAUGUCCGAUUAGCUAGUUGGUGAGGUAAAGGCUCACCAAGGCGACGAUCGGUAACUGGUCUGAGAGGAUGGUCAGUCACACUGGAACUGAGACACGGUCCAGACUCCUACGGGAGGCAGCAGUGGGGAAUAUUGGACAAUGGGGGCAACCCUGAUCCAGCCAUGCCGCGUGUGUGAAGAAGGCC
rnacentral:rRNA from 1 species